UUUGUUAUAUUGCCCUCUUAAGGCAUGCCAGCAUAACAGCCAAUUGCGAGGCAAUUGCAAAUCUGUGACACACACACCACCACUACUACACAGUAUGCUGGGCAGCGGCAACAUCAACAACACUCUGCACACUGCAGGCCCAAGUGCGGCAGACUCCUGCUAUCGCUCUCGUGCUCUCUCUCUCUCUCACAGCGUCUCGUUUUUGAGCCUGGCAAAUUGACAAUUCUCUCUGAGGGUCGACUUCAAGAGUGGGAGGUGAUGGUGCAGUGUUCUGAGAUGAUAUCACAGGCAGUGAGAGCUCCAAAACUACCUGACAUUGGAAUAUAUGUGAACUCUACAAUUCAUGGGUGCUUCAAAGCUACAUGUACAUGUAACAAGCCUACCAUCAUGUAAAGUGUUGAACGUCAGUUACUGUCUGCUGCACUCCUAAAAAUUGCGUCAACAUUUCACUGGAGUCAAUGCACCCAUGUCCCUCAAGAUGACGUCAUGUUUGGGAUGCUAACACCAUUGUUGAGGUUUGCAGAGAUGUGGGUGGAAAUCGAGCUUGUAACUUAACUUAUUCCAUCCACCUGGUGACAAGCAGUCACAAACAUCUUCACCAGCUGCAGUUUAGAUACACAGAAACAGGAGCACAAUCUUGGCAUGAGAAGGAGAGCGAGCCUACAUGUGCACACCCACGAAACCGCCGGACCGUGUUCAGAAAAUGCAAAGAGCGGCAUUUACAGGUGUGAAGAGUGUGGAACUGUAGCUCUCUAUCCGUCAGUUUCUGACUGUCAUCACCUUCAAAUUACAUCCCCAUGAUGGGAGGGAGGGAGGGAGGGAGGGAGUGGGAGAGAGCUUUCACAAGGUAGGAUCAAAGUAACCAAAAGUGGCAGGAGAAACCAUCAAUGUAUCAUCAAGGUCCACUCAGGGACGCCCAUACUACAUCAAGCCCCCCUCCCCAACUUGGAGUCAGAAUAAAAGUGAUGACCUCCGCUGACCUUUCUCCAAAUGUACUGAAGUGUAAUAUAAAGUGAGGGCAAUCCACCAUGAGUGCCAUUAAUAACAGGGCAAAGGCAUGAACACAAAAGAGUUAUCUUGCAGACAUGCCUGUUGGUUACGGGUCCUCUGUGCUGUGUUUACUGGAGAGCUUUGGCCAGCUGGGAGUACAGUACAGCCAUGGUGUCCUAUGGGAACUGAACCCACUACAAAUGGAAUCGUAGUAACCUCAGUGACUUAGGAUACUAUUUAUCUGGCAUACAAAUGUGCAGAUAGAUUAAGGAAAUUAUAAAAUAUAAGGUGCGCGAAAUCAUGGAUGAAACCUACAUCAUGGUGAUGAGUGGUCACUGGUGACCGAUACUGCUACAUGUACAUGACCAUUCAAAGCUGUCACAUCAUGGAUCCCAACUGGUCUGAAUACCAAUGACAAUAAUGUUCACCUGCCAGCUCACACAAAAGUCUCCCAGGCCAUAGCAAUCACUUUUGUGCAGGACUGGCAGCUCGGCAACCAGCCAAGCGCAAACAAACAGGACAUUUAAUAUCACCACGCCAAUUAGGCUGGCAGGAUUCCAUGUUGCCAAUUUCCACUAAACUCACUGGAGGGGCAUUUCACUACAGCCAUGGAAACGCCGAAUGACAAUACAAAAAAGAAUGCAAAAGCAGCGCACGGCUUCUGCGGGCAACUCGUGCAUAUCUAGCCUGAAAGCUAAUUAUUUGUUUGCAAGUGUACCCUUGCAUUACUUGAAAAAUGUCCGAAGAUUUCAACUGGGAAACGCCUACAGUGUAUGAUCGAGGAUUUGAGCAAUGACUGAGACAGACGGUACCCGGAGCAUUAUUAAUAUGUGCUUUACCUACUUCCUCACUUAACAGUUCGUGCAGUUUGAUGCAUCCACAGUGGACAAAGUAGAAUUAUAUCUACAGUGGAAUAGUACACAGCCAUUCAUGCUGUACAAAAACUCUGAACAGCCUGGCUUCUUUAUAUAAAUGGGUGGCGGACAGUCUUAGAAGUCAUCCUUCAUUAACUGUGGAAGAAUACAUGCUGGACAGGAGGAUAUCAGCCAGCGAAGAUGUCACUUACAUGUAAGGUGGAACUUAGGGGAAAUGGGCUUCAUCUAAUUGUGUCCAGAUUGUUUUCGAAAGUACAUGAGAAACAAGAUUCCACACCCUCGGGAUUUCCACAGCCCCGAGGAAUCUUGACGUACUUCGGUGUGCUCGCUGAAUGGAAUAAAUCCCAACAGGUGACAACUGACAUCCCAACAAUUCAGGGACUUAUCGAUAUCAAGCGAGGAGACAUCCCACGGGGACAGUUUACCAUCAGUGCUAAAAUAGCUGACAAUUUUUGUCUAGCGAGAUGGGAAUGCCUGUACAACCCUGAUCGAAGUAGAUAUCGAGCCCAACACGGGCAGGUGCAUUUAUCAACAAGCGACUCCCAAUUAGUCCAACACGCCUACGACGCACACGAAGGAGAAGAUUAAGGAGAGGUUAAGAGACAGGAUGCAAGACCAAAGGAGUGGGCGGUGGGAUCCAUCAACAUCGGAAUGAUAAAUCAACAGUCACCGACUGAAGAGAAGCAAUCCUGAGUCUUCAAGUAGCAAAAGAACAACAACCGAUGAGAGUAAAUGACAGUAAACAUGGAUCGACUUCACAAGGAAAGACAGACAAGGAAGAGGACUUACCCGGCCUUGUUGGGUCCAUGGAGUUGGGCAUCAUGCCUUGUGAAUUGGGGAUGCCCCCGGGUGGAGGCUGUGGAAAUGUCAGCGGGGUGACAUAAACGGCUGUGAAAGACAAGAAAUGGGAGGACAUUAACCGUUGCAUCGACCACUCUCAUCUGGCUCGUAUUUGCAUGAGGCACCGCAAACAACACUCAAAGGGAAUCAGUGCAUCGUGACUACACGAGAGAGAAAGAGAGAGAGAGGAAGACAGAGAGAAAGAGCUGAAUUCUGCAGAUAUAAGGUACAGCAAAGCAUCAGGUGUUUCUGAACUGGGAGAGCCCGCUACCAUCUAAGUUCUGUAUUGAUUUGAGAAGAGAAAGAAAAAGGAUCCACCAUGGGAGGGAAGAGAUGGCAGAGGAAUUCUCGGUUACUGAAGUGGGAGGCACAGACUCUUCGGGGACUCUGGGAGAUAAACGGGCAUGGAGGCAGCGCUAGAGACGAAAAGGUCAACCUACACAUGCCCGAGAGUGACCUUGUGUGGGCUGGUGUCAGGUCACAGCGUGGGAAGGAGAUCUGUGCAAUGGACCAUUAACAAGACUCUCUGCAGUAACCAUGCAAGCUUUGAUAGAAGUGGUUCCCCGGGAAAUGACGGGAAUGGUAUGACCCACCUGGUUCUGUUGCAUCAUGGGACUGCCAUGGUGAUGAUGCUGAGCGUGGGGUGAGGGCUGCGACCCCUGGGGACCCCCAGGGCCAGGGUUCUGGUGUGAGGACCCCUUAACUUCACGAGGUGACACACUACAGUGGAUGUCUUGCUCAUUCUCAACUUCAGUGUUUGAUUUCAAAGCACCUACGAAUGUUUUCCAAACCCCAGAAUCACAGACAACUGGAGUGAGGUUGCUCAAGUUCUCAAACAAGGGUGUUUCAUGCAAAGUGGCCCACAUGAGGGAGGAAGACGAGCGAGAGGCAGUGAUGAUCCUUACCUGAAAGAAGCCCGGAGGCAU